UACGUAGGGCGCAAGCGUUGUCCGGAAUUAUUGGGCGUAAAGAGCUCGUAGGCGGCUUGUCACGUCGGAUGUGAAAGCCCGAGGCUUCAACCUCGGGUCUGCAUUCGAUACGGGCUAGCUAGAGUGUGGUAGGGGAGAUCGGAAUUCCUGGUGUAGCGGUGAAAUGCGCAGAUAUCAGGAGGAACACCGGUGGCGAAGGCGGAUCUCUGGGCCAUUACUGACGCUGAGGAGCGAAAGCGUGGGGAGCGAACAGG
rnacentral:rRNA from 1 species